GUGCUCACUUUGGCAGCUCACGCACUAAAACUGGAGCGACGCAGAAAUGAGCAGCACAGCCCCCUUGCAAGAAUGACAUGCGUAUGUGUGAAGUAUUCCAUAUUUUA